GAUCUCGACAAGUUCCUCUUCUCCACCAUCUGACUCUAGAAGUCUAAGGUUGAGGUUAGAGACCUAACUUCAGACUUUCACCUUGAAGUUUCUGAGUCCUUGAAGAUAGGACUCAAAGAAGAACUCCAGCUUGAUCAUCCGAAACUCCUCUGAGGAACAGAAUGCCUUGACCAUGAUGGCCUUCUUAGCUUCCUACCUCUACUCCCAU
rnacentral:lncRNA from 1 species